rnacentral:pre_miRNA from 1 species
GCCCUUUUUAUGUUGUACUACUAGUGAUCAUACACAAAGCAGUGCAAUGUUAAAAGGGCAU